rnacentral:tRNA from 1 species
GCAGAGAUGGUGUAAUGGCAACACCACAGUCUCCAAAACUGUUGUUCUAGGUUCAAAACAAGCGUCUCUGCG